GCAAAACGCGAAGAACCUUACCUACUCUUGACAUCCAGAGAACUUGGCAGAGAUGCUUUGGUGCCUUCGGGAACUCUGGGACAGGUGCUGCAUGGCUGUCGUCAGCUCGUGUUGUGAAAUGUUGGGUUAGGUCCCGCAACGAGCGCAACCCUUAUCCUUUGUUGCCAGCGGUCCGGCCGGGAACUCAAAGGAGACUGCCAGUGAUAAACUGGAGGAAGGUGGGGAUGACGUCAAGUCAUCAUGGCCCUUACGAGUAGGGCUACACACGUGCUACAAUGGCGCAUACAAAGAGAAGCGACCUCGCGAGAGCAAGCGGACCUCAUAAAGUGCGUCGUAGUCCGGAUUGGAGUCUGCAACUCGACUCCAUGAAGUCGGAAUCGCUAGUAAUCGUGGAUCAGAAUGCCACGGUGAAUACGUUCCCGGGUCUUGUACACACCG
rnacentral:rRNA from 1 species